UAGGGAAUCUUCGGCAAUGGACGAAAGUCUGACCGAGCAACGCCGCGUGAGUGAAGAAGGUUUUCGGAUCGUAAAACUCUGUUGUUAGAGAAGAACAAGGACGUUAGUAACUGAACGUCCCCUGACGGUAUCUAACCAGAAAGCCACGGCUAACUACGUGCCAGCAGCCGCGGUAAUACGUAGGUGGCAAGCGUUGUCCGGAUUUAUUGGGCGUAAAGCGAGCGCAGGCGGUUACUUAAGUCUGAUGUGAAAGCCCCCGGCUCAACCGGGGAGGGUCAUUGGAAACUGGGAGACUUGAGUGCAGAAGAGGAGAGUGGAAUUCCAUGUGUAGCGGUGAAAUGCGUAGAUAUAUGGGGGAACACCAGUGGCGAAGGCGGCUCUCUGGUCUGUAACUGACGCUGAGGCUCGAAAGCGUGGGGAGCAAACAGG
rnacentral:rRNA from 1 species